rnacentral:siRNA from 1 species
UCUCUAUUUACAGAUUUUGCCU